rnacentral:rRNA from 1 species
UACGUAGGGGGCAAGCGUUGUCCGGAAUCAUUGGGCGUAAGCGCGCGUAGGUGGCCCGGUAAGUCCGCUCUGAAAGUCAAAGGCUCAACCUUUGAAAGCGGGUGGAUACUGUCGGGCUAGAGUCCGGAAGAGGCGAGUGGAAUUCCUGGUGUAGCGGUGGAAUGCGCAGAUAUCAGGAGGAACACCAACGGCGAAGGCAGCUCGCUGGGACGGUACUGACACUAAGGCGCGAAAGCGUGGGGAGCGAACAGGA